CCUACGGGAGGCAGCAGUGAGGAAUAUUGGACAAUGGGCGCAAGCCUGAUCCAGCCAUGCCGCGUGCAGGAAGAAGCAUCUAUGGUGUGUAAACUGCUUUUGUACAGGAAGAAACACUCCCUCGUGAGGGAGCUUGACGGUACUGUAAGAAUAAGGACCGGCUAACUCCGUGCCAGCAGCCGCGGUAAUACGGAGGGUCCGAGCGUUAUCCGGAAUCAUUGGGUUUAAAGGGUCCGUAGGCGGUUUAAUAAGUCAGUGGUGAAAUCUGGUCGCUCAACGAUCAAACGGCCAUUGAUACUGUUAGACUUGAAUUAUAAGGAAGUAACUAGAAUAUGUAGUGUAGCGGUGAAAUGCUUAGAUAUUACAUGGAAUACCAAUUGCGAAGGCAGGUUACUACUUAUGGAUUGACGCUGAUGGACGAAAGCGUGGGGAGCGAACAGGAUUAGAUACCCUGGUAGUCCACGCCGUAAACGAUGGAUACUANUGUGUAGNAUAUGAGUGNGAGAGAAGAGAGUAAGUAGUACCACCGUCGGGAGGUACGGUUAACGGUACGAAGAAAGUUAAGUAAACGUUAAAAGUUAAGUAAGUUAGUUACGGCGUGAGACGUUAGCCGACGGACGACGACGAGGGAGGAGGAG
rnacentral:rRNA from 1 species